UAAAGCAAAAUAACCUAAUAAAACAGAAGAAGAAACUGAAUCAACUAGAAAACUAAAAGAAACUUAACCAAAUAAAACAGAAGAAGAAACUGAAUCAACUAGAAAACUAAAAGAAACUCAGGCCUGGAAACCCUUCUUCUCUGUCCUUUGAAAACAAAGCCUAUCAUGUAUCAGUCAUUUAAAAGACUGAUGCUGCUCUAAAAUCAUGCAUUUCAAUCCUCAUUCUCUGUCAAAAUCACGAGUUCUUCUGACAGACCCAAUGUCACAUAAUCUGGACUCUAUUUUGCCACUUAACCAUCGUCAUCACCGCUUCCUUUAUCGCGAUUCACCAGUCUUUCCACCGCAUGUGGAACCUUCUCCAUCCAGUAUUGGGAAUUUUCAUAUCGUCGUCCUUCUAUCACCAUCCCGUGAGCCGUUUUUUUGGCUUCCCUUGGAGUUUACUUUACAUAUUAUGGUCAACGCAUCUCCUUCAACACAAAUGUCUUGGAAACCCAUUUCCUCCGCCAUAGUGAUUGCUUGCAAACACGCCCUUGCCUCUGCCAUAACUAGAUCUGGAAUAUUCUCCCAUUGAAAGGUACAAGCAGCCAUUACUAACCCUUCUUUAUUUCGAGCUAAAAUUCCUUAUACUGAUCUUCUCGUGUGUUGGUUAAAUGAGGCGUCAAAGUUGAUUUUUAUAAUGUUAUCAUCCGGUGGUUUCCAAACAGAAUCAUUGACUCCAUUCGCAUUUUUUAAAAACUCCCUCAUAAAUGCUAUUUCUGCAUAAUAAGCAUUGAUAAACGCCACUAUUUCAUUUACUUGUUCUCUUGUUCCUUCAUGAUAAAUCUUAUUGCGAUUGUACCAAAUAGCCCAGUAUACGAUAGAUCUUAUUUUACAUGCUUCUGUAUUCUGACUGUCGAACUCUGUUUCUAACCAUUUUUUCCAAUUGGGUUCUCUAUUGCAUGUUGUAUUUGUCGCUCCCAUCCCUCGCAAUACUUGCUGCAUGAAAGUGCAAUCCCUAAAUAGGUGGCUCACUGUUUCCUCAUUUGCUUGACACAAAGGGCAAAGUGUAUUUACAACCAGUUUACGGAUUCUUAGGUUGUGUAAAGUGGGUAUGAACUCAUUUGCUAUUCUCCACAUAAGUAUACAGAUUACUUGGUACCUUAAGACCCCAUAACUUUGUAAAGAAAGUAGAUGAAAUUUCAUUAUGUAAUAUAGGAUCCCUAUUAUAAUAACCCAUUUGUAGCCACUUUUAACUAUGUAUACCCCUGUAUUGUCACCUCUCCAUAUUAACUCAUCCUGCGGUCUGCUACACACCAAUGGAGUUGAAAGAAUAUUUUUCAGUUGCUCCUCUCCGAAUAGUGAUCGGAUAGUGUCUUGCUUCCAGGUAGUAGUAUCCCUAUUGAUUAAAUCAGAAACAACAGUAUAUCUGAUAUCUAUGUUGUGA